AACCAUUCUCACCUGCGGCUAGACCUGCGGAAGGAUCAUUAAGGAGGUGGUUUAGUGGGGCACACUCUCUACGGAGUGUGUGCCAGCUAUUAUAUUCAAUAGCAAAUCCCUUGUGUGCACUGAGAGAGUGAGAAAGAAGACUUGCCGCUAAAGCGGUUUUAAAAAAAUCACGGCGGCGGCGGUCUUUUUCAAAUAAGAACUUGUUGCUUAAAACAUUUGACUGAUGAAUAAUUUAUUAUG
rnacentral:misc_RNA from 1 species